GGCAAAAUGUAUACAGACUACAAGAAGAAGACCUCCAGAGGACUGCAGCAACAAUAAGGGAGUGAUCCAGGAAGAAGACCUCCAGAGGACUGCAGCAAAAAUAAGGGAAGUAAUACUGUUUUCUCUUCAAAUGUUCACGCGAUGAUUUUGAACUAAUUCGUGUCUCACUCUCCACUGAAGAGACAACAACUCUCAGACUCAGGAUGAAGACCUCCAGGAAGAAGGCCUCCUGUGCUUGUUUUUUGGAGAGAAAUAAAUGUCAUCUCUGUUACAAGA